rnacentral:rRNA from 1 species
UACGUAGGGCGCAAGCGUUAUCCGGAAUUAUUGGGCGUAAAGAGCUCGUAGGCGGUUUGUCGCGUCUGCCGUGAAAGUCCGGGGCUCAACUCCGGAUCUGCGGUGGGUACGGGCAGACUAGAGUGAUGUAGGGGAGACUGGAAUUCCUGGUGUAGCGGUGAAAUGCGCAGAUAUCAGGAGGAACACCGAUGGCGAAGGCAGGUCUCUGGGCAUUAACUGACGCUGGGAG